rnacentral:rRNA from 1 species
GAUAACACAUUUAGUGGAGUGAUGAGUGCUGGAUAAAUGCUAGCGGCGGACGGGUGCGUAACACGUGGGUAACCUGCCCCUAUCACUGGGAUAACACACUGAAAAGUGUGCUAAUACCAGAUAACAUAAGCUUUUGGCAUCAUUAGCUUAUCAAAGAAUUUCGGAUAGGGAUGGGCCCGCGUCUGAUUAGCUUGUUGGUGAGGUAACGGCUCGACCAAGGCAACGAUCAGUAGCCGACCUGAGAGGGUGAUCGGCCACACCUGGAACUGAGACACGGUCCAGACUCCUACGGGAGGCAGCAGUGGGGAAUAUUGCACAAUGGGCGAAAGCCUGAUGCCAGCAACGCCGCGUGAGCGAUUGAAGGCCUUCGGGUCGUAAAGCUCUGUCCUAUGGGAAGAUAAUGACGGUACCAUAGGAGGAACGCCCCGGCUAACUACGUGCCAGCCGCCGC